UUUGAUGAAGUUAGAAGCCGAUGCAUCGAUACACUGGUACACUUGCCAAACAUUACAUCACAACUAAUCUUAAGUUAAAACGUAUCCUGUGUAUAUAUCUGUAAUCUUUAUAUAUAUCUGACGUGUUUUUUUCACAAUUCCGUUUGUGACCAUAUAUAGAUAGAUUUCCAGACGACUUGUUAACUGUUAAAAAAUAUGAUCCAUUGAGUUGUUAAACCGUUGUUAGCGUUUUAUAACUAUGCUCAUUUGUUGUCUAGUUAGCAAGUAUGAUCUUUUCUCUCACUCUCAUCUCUCUUCAUCGGCCGAUAUCUCCUACCUCUAUCCUCCAUUAUACACGAGACAGUCAGCUGGGAUAACCUUGUGUUAAUCAGUGUUUCAUCACAUACGUUGUAGAUUCUUUAUGGAUUUUACAGCAAAUGUCACACACAUCUGGACAAGGCUUACCGGACCGGCCCAAUAAAUACCAUAAUAGGACAAUAAAAGGUAAUUCCAAUUUCUUAAGUAUACUCCAAAAUAUAUCUUAUGAUAUUCUUAUAAUCGGAAAGAACACUAUAACCAAAAGUUACCUGACGCAAUUAAAAUUUAUUUAUCAUGAAUUAUACAACAAUCAGUUAUCAAAUGUAUAACGAAAUUCAAAUUAUCCAGUAAAGAAAAGAUUUUAACGAAUGAUCUAGAGCUCGUCACGACUCGAAGCAGAUGAAAACGAUGGAAAUUCGACUUUGUUCCCGCAGGCUCGCCCAUGAGGUAAAACCGGGCAUUUGAUGAAGUUAGAAGCCGAUGCAUCGACGCACUGGUAC
rnacentral:lncRNA from 1 species